UGCCGGCGGAGCCCCCCCGCCCCCUCCUCGGUCAGACAGAGCGGCGGCCGCGGGGACCCGCUGCCUCGUCAAGGGGCUGGGGAGGAGAGCGGCGAGGAGCCGGAUAAACACCGGGGAGGAGAAGAGCGUCCCUCCCAUCCCGUUUCCCCUCCCGGCAGGGCGCGCUUGGAGCUGCCUCCGCUUGUCCGGCCGCCCGGGGCGGCUCCGCGCCCCUCUGCGGUGCGGUGCGCUCAGGUUGGGCGCGGGGCGGCUGCUGCUGCUGCUGAAGGUGAAGCUCUCGCUCUCCAAUUACUUUUCCCAAGAGGGAGAAGGAGGCAGCAGGAGGGGGAAGUCGUGCUGUGUGCGAGCGGCAAACCAAUCAGAGAUGCUCUAACGGAGGGAUUGCUGCAGGACGCGCCGGCUUUUCCUCCCUUCCUCUGCCGGCGGCGCUGAAUCGGGACCGCACGCAGCUGGCGGAGGGGCCGGAGCCGCACCGGGCUGCAGGACUUCCUCACCCUCCGCUUUUCCGAUACCUAAUCCAUACUUCGUCCUCUUUUCAUUUUUUUUUUUUUAAUACUCUGAAAUCGUGCUCGAGAAACACUUCAAGUCUUCCUUCCCUUCCCUUUCCACUUACUUCGCCCUUCCUCCAGCAUCUCUUAACCGGAUUCCUGGUGUAUUCCAAGAGAGAGGCGGGGGGGAGACCCGGGCGCCGGCGGAGGGCUGCCUGCCCCAGCCCGGCCGAGCGGAGCCGAGCGGAGCGCGGUGCCGCUCCAUGCCCCCGGGCGCUGGCGGGGCGCGGGGCGUCUGCCGGCGAUGCCCGGGCGGUAAGGCUGGAGCCGGAGCUCCCCCGCGACGGGAGGCGGCCGAUCCCUAGGUGUUUCCAGCAGGAAGCGGGGCUGCAGGAUGAAUAAGAGAUACUUACAGAAAGCAACAAAAGGAAAACUGCUAAUAAUAAUAUUUGUUGUAACGCUGUGGGGGAAAUUAGCAUCUGGGGCAAAUCACCAUAAAGCUCACCAUGUUAAAACUGGGACCUGUGAAGUGGUGGCACUGCACAGAUGUUGCAAUAAGAACAAGAUAGAAGAAAGAUCACAGACGGUGAAGUGCUCCUGCUUCCCUGGGCAGGUAGCAGGUACCACCCGGGCAGCUCCUUCUUGUGUUGAUGCUUCAAUAGUGGAGCAGAAAUGGUGGUGCCACAUGCAACCAUGUCUUGAAGGGGAGGAAUGUAAAGUUCUUCCAGAUCGUAAGGGAUGGAGCUGUUCCUCUGGGAAUAAAGUAAAAACAACAAGGCUGUGGCAGUAUUCCUGGAGCCAAAUGUGAGUGCACUACCUCAAAAUGCCAGCAGUGGAAGCUGGUAAGCAAGUGGGGAAAUAUCACCAGAGGAAUCUCUGAAGCUUGGGACAAAGGCAGAAAACACAUCAGUACUGCACUAACAGAGCAGCAGGUACCCUCAUAGAGAAGAUAAAAUUACAGGCAAACGUGUAAAACUCCUCAAGUCCGAAUGGAGAAGUAGAGAAAGGAGGUUUCUGCUGUGCCUGAUGACAAUUUUUGAUUUUUCCACACACACAAAAUAUUCUGGCUCCACGUUGGAGCACUAGUUGUGAUGAAUCCUAGUCUUGGUCGGAUUCUAAGGAAGGGCCAGAACGUUCGUUGAGGAAUAAAGAGUCAAACCACUCCAGAAAAUGUGUUCCAGCCCUGGUUUAUUACUCACAGAGCAGCAGGUAACCCGAUAGCUAAAGACAAAUCAAGUCAGUCUCAAGGCUGAUAACAUUAAAUACAACACAUAGGAAUUUCAUUCCUCCAGGCAAUCCUUGAAGUGAAAUUUUAUACUGCUGGGUGUAUCCUUCAGAGCCAAUUGUUUCAAUGAGAACCUGGCUUGUAAUCAGCAACAGCCUUGAUAUCAAAACUACUGGAAAGUUAUUUUGAACUUCAGUGUCACAAAGAUUUCAACUGUUUGAACUGUGUACACUUGUAAAAUUGCACUUGCUGAGGAAUUUGCAGCUGUAAUCACAAGAGCUGAUAUUCAAAAGGUGCAGAAAAGCAGCAAUCUUUUGGAUUCUCCAUUCCAGACUGAUGGCUUUUCAUCUUGAUGAAGUCAACCUCCAAAAUGUAUUGGUUCCUUCUCGCUAAAAUGAUCCCUGGUCUGCCGUUCAGAUUGCUGGUGGGACUGCACACUGCUUUAAUUAAAUUUCUGUUGCAGAAAUUGUCCUCUGGCAUGGCGCAGUUUUAGACAUUUUUAUUUGUAUUCUAAUCUUGGAGCUCUCAAAGGUACAUAUUUCAACAUCUUGAAGUUGCUUUUGUUAUAGGAAUGGAAAUAUAUAUCCAUUGUUAAUAAUUAUUGUUGACAAGUAAUAGUUAUCUGAAUACAUCAGUCAUAUUAGAAUGUAUAGUCGGGUUGACAUGUUUCCCUAAGGCUAACCACCUACUGCAGCUCUUCGGCAGUUAAAAAAGUAGUGGUCAAAACUCAAUUACCACUUCCAUUAUAAGGCAUUUUAUACCUUUAAGAUAUACAUUUCCAUUUGGUUUGAAGGAGAUGGGUGUUCCUGGUAUGUACUUUACUUUCCCAACCUUUAAUUGAUUGAAAUUCAUGCUAAGCAGUCAAUUUCAUCCCUUUUUAUAAAGGUAGGCAGGGAUGUAAAUGAGUUUUGCAAUUAUGAAAUUGGAUGGUAAUCAUUCAGAAUUUUUGUCUUUUUAUUAAAAAAUAAAAUCUCUUGCUUGAACCUAAGUACUGUUGGAUGCUUAUGUAGAUGUCUGCUCAGUCUGUUUGCUAUAAAGGAAAAACGGCCUAGUGCCCUCCCAGAUUUACAGUUUGUGGGUAUUUUGCUUGCUUACAGUCAUCCAAUUCAGAUCUGAUCCUUGCCAAAAUCGCAUUUACUUUUUAAUUUUUUGUUUCAGUAGCAAUUUUCGAACUUUGUGAUGUGCUGUUACAUGAAAAAAGAUCCUCAAUAUUUAAAGGCCUUAAGCAUCUACGAGCUUUUUUCUAAGUUAUUACAGAAUGUAUAAUUUUAUACUCCGUUUAAUGUAUAUUGUACCACCUGUAAUAUGGAUACAACAGAAAUUUGGCGAUUCCUUGUAGUGACGCUGCAUAAGCAUGCUGCCUGGAGAGGGUGAGGGAGCUCUGACUGUGUGCUUUGGUGCAUUGGAAUGAAAACCACACACAGUUAAUGGUAGGCAAAACUAUAUAGGGGCGAGCUUAUUUAAAGAAGUCCUGUGUGGUUACCAGACUCCCAGAAAAAGAGGGAAGUGAUUUUAUCAUUACAAGCCAUUGACAUGGCUAGGUAGUUAUAUAUUAAGUUCCAUGAUGGAUGAACACCCUGGAGUGCUCUGCCUGUCACAGUAGCCCCUGCUGUUCCAAAACCAUUUCAUUACCUCUGCUGUAUUAUUGCACAGGAGAGCUUAAAUAAAAUAAAUGACUGUUGGGAAUAAAAUUGAGAAGUAUCUUCUAUCAUUCUGCUGAGAAAUAAUAAAAAAUGUUGGCAGGGAAAGAUAUUCUUUUCUGAUUAAAAUUUAAUUAGGGUAAACUGUUUGUAGCAGCCACUAGGUAUCUCAGUAUUUUAGGAUGGAUUAAUAUUGUAUGGAUUUGUGCUAACCAGUGCAGGACAGAAGGUAGCAUCUUAAAGAAAUUGUCCGGGACAGUGCAAAGUGUAAAUGUGCUGUUUUGUAAAAUCUGAAUUUGGCCUCUCUUUGGUCAAAACUCUACAUCAUGCUUCUCAAUAAUUGUUUUCUUUGUUUCUUUGUUCUUAAACCAACACUGAAGAUACUGUAUUAUAUACAAGUGUAACACAUGCAUACCAAUAAGUGAAAAUAAAUGGAUUUUCAAAUAUA